ACAAAAGAGACAAUACUGCAUAAGUUUCCUGUCGUCUUUUGUCUCGGGGGGUGGAGGCUCCUCUAAGCUUUCCUCGGUCGGCUCGGGGUGGAGGAGUGUUGCAAGAGCAACAUGCUUCAGCCGCGCUUGAUUUAUUGCCUUAUAUUCCAGGGCGCCCCCUUCGCAACAUUUCUGGAGCCAGCUCGUGCCUUGCACUAGCUCUCGUUUCAAAGCACGGAGCAAAGCGGGAGCCGUUGCGCGCAAGGACUUGAAUUAUGAACCGAGGUUUUCCUCAGCACUGGGGAGGUUUCCCUGGAAGAGGACGUGGACAUUGGUUUCACCCAGAUUAUAUGCAAAAUGAAGAAUUUUGGAGAGACGGGCCAGCUCUGGGGUGGAACCAGUGGCAUCCUGAGCUAGAGAGGGUAUGUAACAGCGGCAAUUACAACUUUCGAGGCUCUGGCUGGUUCCGAGGAUAUUUCCAUGAGAGACGGCCCUACCGUGGCCUUCCUUACAGAGGACCUCAAGGCAGCUUCUUUAAAGGUAGUUUCCAGAAGACAUCACCUUCCUUCUUGACGCCAAGUAAGAAGGAAAAUAAUUCAAAAAAGGUGGAAGACCAACCAAGUGCAUCCAAGCAGACCAAACAAGAGGAGGAGGAGCCUGCCCCUUUGGUGAAUGAACCUGAACCACCGAAGGUAAGUGAGGAAGCCAGUCGCACCACCACAUCCCCUCAGAAAUUGUCUUUGCCGACUGACUGCUCAGCUGUCUCAGAAAGCAAAGAGGACAUGCUUCCAAGGAAAAAAGAAAAAGAUGAGGUUCAGGUUAAAGAAAGUCAAGUCUCUGAAGACCAUUCUAAUCAGACCACCCUUGAUACAACACCUGUCGAAAAGCAAACAAUACCUGGGACCACAGAAGGUCUUCCUACCAUUGAAAAUGAAGAGCCUCUGCUGGUGCCAGAAAACAAACAGGAUAUGAAUCUUUCCAGUCUGACUGAUUCUUCAUGGGCAACUGAACCAGUUGUUCCUCCCGAAACUGAAGAGACCAUUCCUUCCUUGGAAAGGGUAGAAACUGAACUGGACAAGCUGACAGAUAUGCAGGUCUAUGAAAAUCCUCCAAGCCUGAUCACCCCGCUUCCAUCUCCUGAAGAACCUACAAAAGAGCAAACACUGCCUGAGACACCUGAAGGCCUUCUUUAUCCUACAAAACCAGAAGAUUCCGGGAUGCUGGAAGCCAACUGUUCCAGCCAUGCUAGCACACCUCUCAGCGUAGAAAUACCAUUCUUAUCCAAGACCCCAGAAGAUCAUCAGUGUGAAGAAAAGAAAGAAAUUGAUCAGACCCAAAGCUCCGACUGUUGUGAGGGUGUAGACCAUCAUCAGGCCUGUGUUGCUCCAACUAUCAACACCUCCAGCCUUUCAAGUACCUUCAGUGAAAUCCACUGUGUACCUGUGCUGGUGAGACGAAGUAAAAUUGAACUGCCUUAUUCCUGGGAAUCUGCAUCUUUUUGUGAGCAAAAUCUGAGUGGAUGGGCACCAGAAGAUUAUCAGGAACCACCCUGGGGUAUUAAGCAGUCUGUCAGGUGUGACAAAGUCUUUGACUGUGACAGAGACUCGGUCUCUUCUCAGUCACUGCCUUGGGCUCUCAUCUCUUGUACUCCAAAAUGUGAGACUGGAAAGCUGAUGGAACACCAUUCUUGCUCACUGAAAAGGCAUCACAGCACUGAUUCAAAGCAUUCGAGUGCAAGUUCGGCUCCAAGGGAGUUGCGUAUUCAGCGUGUGAGAUGCCCUCACAGGCAGGCAUCUAGUUCAAGAUCUCCCCAUAGGCAGGAGCCACGUUCAAGAUCUUCUCACAGGCGUUUUUCAAGAUCCCCUAACAGACGACAUCAUCGCUCACUGUUCUCAUUCAAGCGAGAGCAUUCCCCUCAGAGACAAGGGCAAAGCUCAAGAUCCCCUUCAAGGAGGAGAAAGGACUUCGGGAGAAGUUAUGGUCAUUACAGACAUGGCUGCAAUCCAUCCCAAGAACAUUCCCGGGAGACAGGUUCCCCUUGCCCUUACAGAACUCAUGAACUAGAUGGCCAACACCCCCCCAGAGAAAGAAGCAAAACCUAUGAAGGUCCAUACUCCUGCUCCCUAGAGAGCCCCACAGAGGCCUGUAAAACCAAUGUACAAAAGGCAAAGAAGAAAAUAUCAAUGCAGCCCAAGAGGUCUGAAAGGAAGCGAACAACUUCAGAGAAAGUAACAAAGUCCACCAAGAUCAAGAAGAAAGCUAGAUUGUCUCCUUGUGCUGUUAAAGGAACAAUACCUUCAGAGACUACACAAAACUUACAACCUUUAAGAACAGAAGAGCCUGAAAAGAUUGCAGCCAGCAAAGAGGCCAUGGGCUCUCCUUACCAUCCCAGUGCUGGAAAGAAAGACAGUUUUUUGGCCCUGUCAUGGACUCCCGAGGAACGUUCUGCAGCUGUGCUGGCAAGAAAGGAAGAGAUUGAGCAGGCCUAUUUGCAGGUUCUCCUCAACUUUGCAGCAGUGGCCAUCAUGCUGGUAGAAAAAGAACCCUGCAUGGAGAAGACUAUGGAAUCAGCACUGAGGGCCAACCUGAGGAAGAUAGGAGACUACUAUGAAUGCCUGCUGAAGAACUACAUUGACAGCUUAGCUGAAGCCAGCUGAGAGGAGACUUCACCGGAAGCUUCAUUCACUGUAACGGAGUCUUGCUGUAGGACAAAAUGAGAAGGGGAAGCUGCAUGUUCUUUGGACUCAGUGACCAAGAGUGGCACUGGGCAAAGAGUCUUCUUAGCAGCAGGGAUGAGAAGCAUCAAGGGAUACAAGUUUAGACUGCAGAGGCAAUGGCUGGAUGACUUGCAAGUUUUUGUUGCCUUGCUGCUGAAAAUGGGUAUCCGCUGGUAAACCUUGUUGUUGCUGCCAGUCCACAGUUGCCAGCAGGGUGCGUCAGAGAGCAACCAGUCACAAAAACAAGCUACAACCAACCCAAAAGGCCACUCUUACUGGAAGUGUUGACUCACAAAAGACUUGCAAGGUAAAUCCUGAAGGAGUGACUUACAACUGACUCUGCCUCUCUGCUUUGCACACUUCACACAGAUAUAGUGGCUGCAGGCAGGUAGAGAAAUGGGGUAGAUUUAGCCCCUUCUCAUUCAGAUAAGAAUAGGAGGAGUGAGCCUCUUAGCACAAAGGUUUUAGAUUACUGUGAGGCUUUACCUUCCAGACUUGUUCUAUCUGUUUCUUAUUUAUAUCAUCAUCAUCAUCAUCAUCAUCAUCAUCAUCAUCAUCAUCAUCAUCGAGCCUGUGACAAGGACAUCAAGUUUGCCCCAAAAAACAUAGUUUUAAAAGUAAGCUGUGUUCAGUGGAGGAGGAAGAGAAAGAUGCUUCCAAAACCUCUGGAAUUCACAACCUAACCAACAAGCGGAAAGGCAAACUUCGCAUCAUGGAUGGUCCCAAUUCUAAUGACAGUUGUACCCACUUUCUCCUGAGUUACUUCAGCCCAUACUUCCCUGGACUUCUGCUUUGCACUGAUACGGAGCUGACUUUUCUUCUCCCCAAGCCUUGCUACGUAAGAAGUCUGCUUGAAAUGCUGC